CCUACGGGAGGCAGCAGUGAGGAAUAUUGGUCAAUGGGCGCGAGCCUGAACCAGCCAAGCCGCGUGAAGGAUGACGGCCCUACGGGUUGUAAACUUCUUUUAUAAAGGAAUAAAGUGAGGCACGUGUGCCUUUUUGUAUGUAUCUUAUGAAUAAGGAUCGGCUAACUCCGUGCCAGCAGCCGCGGUAAUACGGAGGAUCCGAGCGUUAUCCGGAUUUAUUGGGUUUAAAGGGGGCGUAGAUGGGUUGGUAAGUUAGUUGUGAAAGUUCGGGGCUCAACCCUCAAAUUGCAGUUGAUACUGGCAGACUAGAGAAGAGGUGAGGUAGGCGGAAUGUGUGGUGUAGCGGUGAAAUGCUUAGAUAUCACGAAGAACUCCGAUUGCGAAGGCAGCCUACUAAACUGCCACUGACGUUGAUGCUCGAAAGUGUGGGUAUCAAACAGGAUUAGAUACCCUGGUAGUC
rnacentral:rRNA from 1 species